GACUGGCCCGCUGCGGGCGGACUGGGGAGCCGCUCAGCUAACGGGUCCGGACGCCGACCGAGGCGGCGGCUUUCUCUGCACUGGCGGCGGCGGCGGGAGCGGCGAGCAUGGCCCGCGCGGCGCCCGGAGCUGACUGAGAUGGAGGCUUUUUCCAAUAGGAAUGGCAUCGUCACGGGAGGAGCUCCCCGCCGCACCCCCCGUGCCCUGGCUGCCCAUCCAUGGAAGUCCUGCAUCCCCUGGACUGCAAGAGCAGACACAGGCGGCUCAUGGCAAGUGGUCCCUUCCUCGUGGUGGCCCAGGAACAUCUGCAUGGUGGAUGGUGUUACGCAGGCCUCUGUCUGGGCUGUGGGGGUCGUUCACUCUGCGUGUUCAGCCAGCUCCCUUGGCCCGACUAGGCCUGCCUGUGCCCUGGAGAGGCCCCAUCCUCUCCCGCCUGCCCUGUCACCUUGGCUUCUGAAGUGCCCACCCUCCUGUGUGUUUCCUGCUGAGACCCCGGUGAGGACGUAGCUCCAGGGCCACGGCGCUUCCUGGGGUGAGUGGGGUACUUCCUGCUGGACAGGGUCGUGCCCCACUCUGUCUUCCCCCUUAGAAGAUGAUGCUCAGGACAGCAGUGCCGGUUUCAGGUACAGAGACAACUUUGGCCUCAGUUUGCCCGUCACUUCCAAUUUGUGGGGGUACGGAGGUUUGACUCAGCCUAGCAGCGCCAAGAGUGGCGUGUUGUGGAAAGAACUCUGUGGGGAUUCCCUGGCGCUCCAGUGGUUAGGACGCCACAGGUUUCGCUGCUGAGGGCCCAAAUGCAAUCCCUGAUGGGGAACUGAGAUCCUGCAAGCCGUGUGCUAUGGCCAAAAACAAAGCAAACAAAAGCCCACAGGGUGAGACCACCACAAACCCAGCAGAAUGGCUAGUCUCCUGAGCUGUCUGCUGACCCAGCCUGGCCAGCGCGCUGUAUCUGCCCCACAUGCCUAGCUCCCACAGGUGCUCUGGCCCACCUGUUUCUGCCUGGGGUCCUGUUCUCAGAGAUCGGCCAGCCUGGGCCAGGCCUCCUGCUCCACAGUGUCUGCGCUCAUCCCUGCCUCCUCCUCUCUGUGAUGCUGAAACCCAGCGGUACCUCGGUCUUUCCCAGCACCAGAGUCUUCCAGUGAGUCAGCUCUUCACAUCAGGUGGCCAAAGCAUUGGAGCUUCGGCUUCAGCAUCAGUCCUUUCCAGUGAAUAUUCAGGGUUGAUUUCCUUUAGGGUUGACUGUGAGGGAAUGUGGCUCCUUCCCAAGGUCCCCCAGGGAAUUGGCACCGACAGGGCUGUACCUGUAACAGUGCCGCCUCAUUUAUCCUAAGUAAGCCUUGUAACAGGAAGGCAUUCUCUUGACACAGUGCUCAGGCCCCAACUUAGCCCAUGAGCCACUGCAGAGGGCUGGUGGCUCCUCCAGCAUCUGGUCUUGGCAGGAGUUACACACAUCUCACCACCUGGCUCCUUCUCCCCACUGGGCAACAAGAAUAUUAAC
ensembl:lncRNA